CACCCGUGUUUAUUUUACCUUGUUGCUUCGGCGGGCCCGCCUUAACUGGCCGCCGGGGGGCUUACGCCCCCGGGCCCGCGCCCGCCGAAGACACCCUCGAACUCUGUCUGAAGAUUGUAGUCUGAGUGAAAAUAUAAAUUAUUUAAAACUUUCAACAACGGAUCUCUUGGUUCCGGCAUCGAUGAAGAACGCAGCGAAAUGCGAUACGUAAUGUGAAUUGCAAAUUCAGUGAAUCAUCGAGUCUUUGAACGCACAUUGCGCCCCCUGGUAUUCCGGGGGGCAUGCCUGUCCGAGCGUCAUUUCUGCCCUCAAGCACGGCUUGUGUGUUGGGCCCCGUCCUCCGAUCCCGGGGGACGGGCCCGAAAGGCAGCGGCGGCACCGCGUCCGGUCCUCGAGCGUAUGGGGCUUUGUCACCCGCUCUGUAGGCCCGGCCGGCGCUUGCCGAUCAACCCAAAUUUUUAUCCAGGUUGACCUCGGAUCAGG
rnacentral:rRNA from 1 species